rnacentral:misc_RNA from 1 species
GAUGAAGAACGUAGCGAAAUGCGAUAAGUAGUGUGAAUUGCAGAAUUCAGUGAAUCAUCGAAUCUUUGAACGCACAUUGCGCCCUUUGGUAUUCCAAAGGGCAUGCCUGUUCGAGCGUCAUUUGUACCCUCAAGCUUUGCUUGGUGUUGGGCGUCUUGUCUCUAGCUUUGCUGGAGACUCGCCUUAAAGUAAUUGGCAGCCGGCCUACUGGUUUCGGAGCGCAGCACAAGUCGCACUCUCUAUCAGCAAAGGUCUAGCAUCCAUUAAGCCUUUUUUUCAACUUUUGACCUCGGAUCAGGUAGGGAUACCCGCUGAACUUAAGCAUAUCAAUAAGCGGAGA